AAGCAGAACCACGUUUGAGGAAUAAGGAACCAGCUGUUGAAUCACGAGCCGAUCAGUACACCCCACCCCCGUUCUUCCCCCGUAGGAAAGAAGUCGUUUGACCAGGUUCUGUGCAUCAUGCUGAAUAUAGAAAAAUAAAUGAGAUAAGGUCCCUAUCUUCAAGGAAUUUAGACUCUAUGGCAACAGUGUACCUCCUUGUCCUGAAAGGCUGGAAAGCUAAAAACCACAUUUCCCAGACCACUUGCAGUUGAAGCUCCAAAUGCAAUGUGAGUUCUGACAAACGGAUCCAUUUUAUGCAAAGUUUGGAAGAUAAAAGUGAGGAAGGGCUUCCCUGGUGGCGCAGUGGUUGGGAGUCCGCCUGCCGAUGCAGGGCACACGGGUUCGUGCCCCGGUCCGGGAAGAUCCCACAUGCUGCAGAGCGGCUGGGCCCGUGAGCCAUGGCCGCUGAGCCUGCGCGUCCAGAGCCUGUGCUCCGCAACGGGAGAGGCCACAACAGUGAGAGGCCCGCGUACCACAAAAAAAAAAAAAAAAAAAGUGAGGAAGGGGCCAGGUUUCUGGCUGCUUCUGCUAUUUCUUCCAGCAAGCACAGUCAUAAACACGUGGAGUG